CUUUACACCAUUUAGUAACAGACAUUUUUCAAGUAGAUUGCACUGAAGCCCCUAAAACACGCAUACACCUCUUCUCUUGGCUGCUGGUUGGAGUUUUAGGUUCAAGUAGGAUGUACAACAGGCAAGAGGAUGAGGCAGACCUCUACAAAGGAAAGGUUGAAUAUGGACACUGUUGACACCAGGUCCUAGCUGGGAAAAGCUUUAAGCUCGACAUGAAGGUCUGUGGAUACCUGCCAGACUCUUCUGUCCAGUUUCAGAUGGAGAAUUGCACAUGUGGAUCUGGAGUUUUUUGGAACGACACUUCUGUAAUAAAAGCAAGACUGGUGGUGGCAGUUUUCAUUAUGGUACCUCAGCAUGAUGCUGUCAUCAGAAAGUGUCACAAAUGGAGAAGAAGCUCAAAUUCUCCUGAUGUGGGGUACCUGAUCCUCUCAGCAUGGGGUGACAUUGG
rnacentral:lncRNA from 1 species